GAUGAACGCUGGCGGCGUGCCUAAUACAUGCAAGUCGAGCGAACGGACGAGAAGUUUGCCUCUCUGAUGUUAGCGGCGGACGGGUGAGUAACACGUGGAUAACCUACCUAUAAGACUGGGAUAACUUCGGGAAACCGGAGCUAAUACCGGAUAAUAUUUUGAACCGCAUGGUUCAAAAGUGAAAGACGGUCUUGCUGUCACUUAUAGAUGGAUCCUCGCUGCAUUAGCUAGUUGGUAAGGUAACGGCUUACCAAGGCAACGAUGCAUAGCCGACCUGAGAGGGUGAUCGGCCACACUGGAACUGAGACACGGUCCAGACUCCUACGGGAGGCAGCAGUAGGGAAUCUUCCGCAAUGGGCGAAAGCCUGACGGAGCAACGCCGCGUGAGUGAUGAAGGUCUUCGGAUCGUAAAACUCUGUUAUUAGGGAAGAACAUAUGUGUAAGUAACUGUGCACAUCUUGACGGUACCUAAUCAGAAAGCCACGGCUAACUACGUG
rnacentral:rRNA from 1 species